rnacentral:rRNA from 1 species
AACGAACGCUGGCGGCAUGCCUAACACAUGCAAGUCGAACGAUUGCCUUCGGGUGAUAGUGGCGCACGGGUGCGUAACGCGUGGGAAUCUGCCCUUAGGUUCGGAAUAACAGCUGGAAACGGCUGCUAAUACCGGAUGAUAUCGCGAGAUCAAAGAUUUAUCGCCUGAGGAUGCGCCCGCGUUGGAUUAGGUAGUUGGUGGGGUAAAGGCCUACCAAGCCGACGAUCCAUAGCUGGUCUGAGAGGAUGAUCAGCCACACUGGGACUGAGACACGGCCCAGACUCCUACGGGAGGCAGCAGUGGGGAAUAUUGGACAAUGGGCGCAAGCCUGAUCCAGCAAUGCCGCGUGAGUGAUGAAGGCCCUAGGGUUGUAAAGCUCUUUUACCCGGGAAGAUAAUGACUGUACCGAGAGAAUAAGCCCCGGCUAACUCCGUG